CCCCAGAUGUUGCUGAACUACAACUCCCAUGAUUCCAUGCUAUCUGUGUCAUUGAAAGAAUCAAGGGAGUUGUAGUUCAGCAACAUCUGGGG